rnacentral:rRNA from 1 species
UUUCGCAAUGCCCGAAAGGGUGACGAAGCGACGCCGCGUGUGGGAAGAAGGCCUUCGGGUUGUAAACCACUGUCGGGAGUUAGGAAAUGUAAGGGUGCUAAUAGUAUCCUUGCUUGACUAAGGCUCCGGAGGAAGCCACGGCUAACUCCGUGCCAGCAGCCGCGGUAAUACAGAGGCGGCAAGCGUUGUUCGGAAUUAUUGGGCGUAAAGAGCACGUAGGCGGCCUUGUAAGUCAGUUGUGAAAGCCUUCUGCUUAACGGAAGAACAGCAGCUGAUACUGCAAGGCUAGAGUGCGGAAGGGGAGAGUGGAACUUCUGGUGGAGCGGUGAAAUGCGUAGAUAUCAGAAGGAACACCGGCGGCGAAGGCGACUCUCUGGUCCGUAACUGACGCUGAGUGUGCGAAAGCUAGGGGAGCAAACGGGAUUAGAUACCCCGGUAGUCCUAGCCGUAAACGAUGGGCACUAAGUAGAGGGGUUUUA